AUUGAAAGCUGGCGGCAGGCCGUACACAUGCAAGUCGAACCAGUGCCUGAGGGGUGUGUAAUGUCUGGGAAACUGUCCGAUGGAGGGGGAUAACUACUGGAAACGGUAGCCAAUACCGCAUACCAUCGGAUGUGCACAGAUGGGAUUAGCUAGUAGGUGGGGUAACGGCUCACCUAGGCGACGAUCCCUAUCUGGUCUGAGAGGAGGACCAGCCACUCUGGGACUGAGACACGGUGCAGACUCCAACGUGAGGCAGCAGUGAGAAAUAUUGCACAACGUGGGCAAGACUAGUGCAGCCAUGCCGCAUGUAUGUAGAAGGCCUUCGGGUAGUAAAGUACUGUCGACGAGUGGGCGUUACUCUCAGAAGAAGCACCGGCUGACUUCGCGACAGCAGCCGCGGUAAUAC
rnacentral:rRNA from 1 species